CUGGUUGUUUUGUCUGGAGCUGUCAGGGCCUUUCAGCCUCUGAAACUUCCAGUCCAGUCUCCAGCACAGGGCUGGGAAGCACAGCCUUGGAGGCUUCCCCACCCAUCCCAGGGUGGGCAGGGAGAUAAGCCUAGAGUCCAAGGAGGGAGAUGCUGAACAAUGCUAAACAAGCCCAUUUGUCUGGGAACUGGGAAUUGGCGGAUCAGAGCAAUACCCAACAUCUAUUUGCUAAUGAGCUCCUGUCCUAGAGAAAGGAGGACAACAAGGGGAACUUGUGAACCUGAAACAGAGGCCAGAAAGAAACUGCCUCACGUAAGAAGUGAAAAGUGGAUCCAGGACCCAAGACAAGCCACUUCCCCUUUCUGGGCUUCAGGGCUGUGUGAAUGGCAAGUGGAGGCGACCUUGUCCUCAGACUCCUGCGCCUGCUGAUGAGAUCUGGGAUCUGUCCCGCUUCACUGAAAGACCACGGCCAUCUGGAGCACUGUCUGUUUCAGCUAUUAGCUGUGGCUUAGCUGGAGUUGGCUUAUAAUCUCUGCUGCUCUGUCAGCAGCACAGAGAGGUGGUUUAUGAAGCGAGCUCUGGAAUCAGAAGUGUGGGUUCAAGGCCUGAAAAAGGUACUGCUGUGUGACUGUCUUGCGGCUGUAACCCAGAUUACUGCAUAAGCAUAUUCAGAAGGCUCAAAAGAGUUGAAAACUGUAUGCCAGACACAGAAUAAACAUGAACUAUAUGUUAGCCCUCAUUAUUACCAUCUUAUUAUUAAUUGCAAUGCCUUUUCUUUUUCUGUCCUCUCCAGAUCAACAGUAGUUCUCCGGUAUAACUGUGUAGUUUCCCAAUCAAACCCUGUCAGCAGCGAUGAUUUCUGAAAUUCAUGACCUGCUUUCAUUUCCAAAACCAUGAUUAGAGACAUAUUCUGAAGUCUUCACUAAACAGCAGGUGAAAGUCCUCUAUUUUCAAUGACAACACUUCCUCCACGGCCUGGGGCCACCAUGACUCCAAGUGUGGCCUGACUCCCCCGGGGGCUGCUCCUCAGGGACAUUCCUCCCUCUCCUCCCUGCACUCUGCCCAGAAGCACCCUCCUCACUCUCAGACCGAUGCUGCCUUGCACAACUCUCUCUCUACUCCAACGGCACCUCUUAAAAAGGCCUCCACAUCCACCCAGCCAAGGCAGCGCUCCUGCCAAUGCUUGGCACCAGGUAAGGCAGCCAGGUCUCCUCAUUCAGCUGUCACAUUCAGCUGCUGGAGUGGGGCUUAGGCCAAAGGGAGGGUGUCGGCUCCCGGGAUCCUGCCCUAGACACCUGGGGGAAGUCAGAGUAGGCA
rnacentral:lncRNA from 1 species